rnacentral:snoRNA from 1 species
CUUCCCCUCCCUUACUCCAGUCACUCUGUCCCCAGUAGAGUGGUCUGGCAUUGACAGGGGAUACAGCACCACGGCUCUCUCGCCUCUCUCAUCUAAGACAUUCAUCUUAAAUUAGGCUUGUGAGAGAGCUGACAAU